rnacentral:rRNA from 1 species
CUCAUUAAAUCAGUUAUAGUUUAUUUGAUGGUCUCUUUCAUUUUUUUUACCUACUUGGAUAACCGUGGUAAUUCUAGAGCUAAUACAUGCGCAAGGUCCCAAGCGCGGGGCGACUCCUCGUGGGUCGCUCGCAUGUGCAGCGGGAUGUAUUUAUUAGGUUAAAACCAGCGUAGUCAGCAAUGGCUACAAACUCCCCUGGUGAUUCAUAGUAACUCUUUCGGAUCGCAUUCAUG